UACAGAGGGUGCAAGCGUUAAUCGGAAUUACUGGGCGUAAAGCGUGCGUAGACGGUUAUGUAAGUCGGGUGUGAAAGCCUCGGGCUCAACCUGGGAAUGCCAUUCGAGACUGCAUAGCUAGGGUGCGGAAGAGGGAAGCGGAAUUUCCGGUGUAGCGGUGAAAUGCGUAGAUAUCGGAAGGAACACCAGUGGCGAAAGCGGCUUCCUGGUCCAGCACCGACGUUCAGGCACGAAAGCGUGGGGAGCAAACAGG
rnacentral:rRNA from 1 species